rfam:Bifidobacterium dentium Bd1, complete genome.
GGGCGAUUAGCUCAGUUGGUUAGAGCGCCACCUUUACACGGUGGAUGUCGGGGGUUCGAAUCCCUCAUCGCCCA